ACGGUCACCAAAACUAGUCUAAAGAAGGCUCGGAUCAGCUCGAAGGAGUCUGGAUCCCUUUGGGAAGCUUCGAUUGUGCUUUUUCGAGUCAGGGCAAGAAGCUUCAGGCAUACCCUGAACCUUUAAGAUUCUCCUGAUUGGGAAUCCAAAGCCUGAAAGAGGCUUCACAAUUAGGUAAUUCUGAAGUCCUGUUCUUCUAUUCUUACAGCCUCUUUGCCCUUUGCAUUUUUUCCCCACGUCUAGAUAGCUAUGGGGAUUGCUUAGGAAAAACUGAUGUAGGAGCUCACAUGGUUCAUGGGUGGGGUGGCACGGUGCUUGUAUAGUGAGCAUAGUGCCCUAGGUUUGUCCCCAGAGGUACAAGUCAGAAAGAAACGAUCAAGAACCACACUCAGAGUGGCUGUUCCAUUUUAUGUUUCUGCCCUCCAUUCCUGUGUGAGUGGUCCAGUCUCUCCAUGUUCUCUCACCAGCAUUCAGUGAUGUUAAAUACUAUUUCAUGUGCUUUCUGCCAUCUGCUUGCCCUCAUCUUUUACAUCUUUGUUCUUGUCUUUGUCAGUUUGUCAAUUAGAUUGUUUACUAAACGAGCCAUAUCUUUUAGUAAAGUUUUAAAAAUAAUAUCUGACUUCAGAAGUCAGGAAAUAGGACUUUUCAAAUCAUUUAAGUCAGAAUUUUAAAGCAUCUUGAACAUUGUCUUACAGUGUGCCCAACAGAAGGGCAUUUACUUCUGGGCUCAUUACACAGUGUGAGGCUCAUGCUGUGAAAAGAACAAAAACAAGGUUUCUACGGCAACUUUACUUAAGAUUUCCUGUAGUGUGUCCGGAGACAUACUUUAUAUAUAGCAAUUAUCAUGUUUCUAACUGUGCAAUGGUAUGAUUUAUGUAAAGAUUCAAAAUGAUUUUGUGGAAAAUUAAUUAGCAAAGAUGGAUAAGUGUAGAUUUGAAUUCUUAUGUAUCAGUAAUUUAUGAUCUUAUUUCUCUGUUAUUGUGAAUGUUGGUUUUAUUAAAGAGUUAUUGAAACUGUCAUAAACCAUUUUAUAGGUCUUUAAUAAAAUUAAAGAUGAAAUCAGCAAU
rnacentral:lncRNA from 1 species